rnacentral:lncRNA from 1 species
AGGAAAUUUAAAGUAUCUUCUCACAAGUAGUUUUAAGAAUGGAUGAUUUACAACAUAACCCUACUAUAGAGGGGCAGGCGAGAAAUGAAGAGGGAAACACGGAUGGAGACAGGAAGACAAGCUGUGUCCCUUUCUUACCUGUCCAUGAAUGACAUGGCUAGAAAACAGCAAGGUUAAUCUGCAUUUAAUGAUCCCAGCAUGCUUUGGGAGGCCGAGGCGGGCGGAUCACUUGAGGUCAGGAGUUCGAGACCAGUCUGGCCAACGUGGUGAAACCCCGUCUCUAUUAAAAAUACAAAAAUUAGCCUGGCAUGAUGGCACAUGCCUGUAAUCCCAGCUACUCGGGAGGCUGAGGCAGGAGCAUCACUUGAACCUAGGAGGCGGAGGUUGCAGUGAGCCAAGAUCAUGCCACUGCACUCCAGCCUGGGU